UUCUAGGAUGCCUAGCUAGCUCAAUGAUUGAUGUUCAUCUCUUUUGUACUGUUUAGAUAUGUUGUACAACAUAAGCAGUGGCAAAUUAAUAGAACAAACUAUUUCCCAAACAUAUUUAGAAAAUAUAUUUUUCACCUUUCAAGACAUAUCCUUGAUCCGUUUAAAUUUCGUCUACAUAUCAACUAUUUCAUCAGUACUCUUAUCUUCCAAUGAUAACAUUUCAUGAGUACU
rnacentral:lncRNA from 1 species